rnacentral:rRNA from 1 species
UACAGAGGAUGCAAGCGUUAUCCGGAAUGAUUGGGCGUAAAGCGUCUGUAGGUGGCUUUUUAAGUCCGCCGUCAAAUCCCAGGGCUCAACUCUGGACAGGCGGUGGAAACUACCAAGCUUGAGUACGGUGAGGGCAGGAGGAAUUUCCGGUGGAGCGGUGAAAUGCGUAGAGAUCGGAAAGAACACCAACGGCGAAAGCACUCUGCUGGGCCGACACUGACACUGAGAGACGAAAGCUAGGGGAGCGAAUGGG